GAAGAAGACACUGUAAAAGAAGAAAGGGAAGAAAAAAAGAGAAAGAGAGUGAGAGAGACAUUAUAGAAGACAAUGUGAAUUCAUAUUUUGGUUAAUGUAUCAAUUUUAUUCUACUGUAUACUGUCACGCUUGUGACUGUCUGUUUGUCAGUGUUUCCUGUUUUAUUUGUUAGUAGUCUGUUUUGCCCCUAGUCUUGUCUAGUUUACUUCCUGUUGGUUUUGUUUUCCCGCCUGUAUGAUUGUCUGCCCUGCCAUGAUGGCUUUCACCUGUUUGUAUCACCUGUCCCUUGUUUGCUCGUUACCUCUGUUCUUUAGUCUCUGUUGUCCCAUUGUCUCGUUAUGUUGCUGUGCGGUCUGUUUUGUUCCUGAGGUCCUUGUCGUGGAUUCCUUGAUUUAUGGAUUAUUGCUCCCACUCCACCUUGGAUGCACCGUACUUGGGUCUCAAGGGGUUAAGGAUGUGGUUGUUCCACCGAAACUUCACCUCUGUAGCAUCACCGACGUCCACCUCUGCGUCGAUCAGCACCUCAUAGGUCCGUCCAGGCUUCAUUGUACCACUGGACACAAUCCCAACAGAUCCCAAUCAAAACACACUUUAAAAAGUGUUGUUCACUAUAUCAAUAUGUUGCAAUAAUAGAAUACUUCAUGUAACAAAAGUAUUAAAGGCAUUGCACUUUCAAUGCAGUUACUACAUACCCAUACUAUACAGUAACAAUCCAACUACUUUUCCUUUUGUGGUCAACCACUCCAGGAGACCAAAUGUCUGUGUCAUAAUAUAUAUGCUUUUUUAUUGGUUUCA